rnacentral:rRNA from 1 species
GACGUAGGGCGCGAGCGUUGUCCGGAUUUAUUGGGCGUAAAGAGCUCGUAGGCGGCUUGUCGCGUCGUCCGUGAAAACUUGGGGCUCAACCCCAAGCUUGCGGUCGAUACGGGCAGGCUAGAGUUCGGUAGGGGAGUCUGGAAUUCCUGGUGUAGCGGUGAAAUGCGCAGAUAUCAGGAGGAACACCGGUGGCGAAGGCGGGACUCUGGGCCGAUACUGACGCUGAGGAGCGAAAGCGUGGGGAGCGAACAGG